rnacentral:lncRNA from 1 species
UGUAUUGCAAAAUACAUCGGUAUUCGCGUCGGUUUUAGUCGUUAGUUAGUUAGUUUUAGUGUCGAUUUAGUUUAGAAUGUACAUACUAUUGAUCUAAGUUGUGUUUCCAGGUCUUUACAGCCAAAAGGAGUGAAAACGAGCAGAAUCUGGAAUGGCGAAAGGCUGGCACGGAAACCGAGGAAGUCGGGAGCUGAAACGAAGAAAAUUGGCACUUCUGGAGCUUCCAGGCGACCCGCGUUGACUAAACGAGCAUUCCCAAGCGGGCCGCCUUGACUUAAUGAAGAAUCAGGGUUAUUUCAUUCUCUCGCGCCCCGCGUAAACUUGAACAGAAAUGUGAGGCGGGCCGCGAGUGUCGUGUAAAACAAUUCAGGAGUUUUAAAGCUUAGGCGACCCGCAUAAGAUCAAGUUAAUAUUCCACGCGGGCCGCCUAAAGUUGUUAUGUCGGCAGACUUACGAGGAUUGCAUGGCAAGUUAGGGUUUUCGGUUAUAAAAACACAUGUUCGCAUCAGCAGCCGAUUAUUGACGAACUAGGGCAUCUUUGGGGCUGUUUUGGCUGCUGAUUGAAGGCUGUGAACGUGUCGGAGGCAUACCGGAAGCUAGGAAUCAUCGGGAAAGCAUUCUUGAGCAUUCGGGAGUGAAGAUUCGGGUUUUAUACACCUAUUUCUUGCAUUCUUUGUUUGUUUAGACUUUGUUAACGAUGAAUUCAGUUGAUAUUUUGAUUUUGACUUUGUUUCUGAUUAUGUUUUCCGGCUAAAACUCAUAAACUACCUAGGCGAUGACUAUGGCAUAAUGAAGAUUGGAUUUUUAUAUGAUUUUUGAUGUGGUUGUGAUUUUUCUUGCAUUGUAAACACUAUGAUAGUUUGUCUUGGUGCGUUUGUGUGCUUGUGAUUUCUUAUUUAUCGUUUAUUUGUUCCAUUCAAUUCUUGGUGACGGUCUUUAUCACGGAAUAGAGUUGAAUUAGGGUUUUUGACUUAGGUGAGUGUCUAUAUCACAUAAUAGGUCAUUAAUUCUCUAGGGUGAAAAGUGCACUAGUAACCUUAGGAACAAUAUUCGGUAAUUAAUUAAAAUCAAGUGUGCUGCUAGACUCGUCGCGGAAAGGCUCGAGGAUAUUGGUAGGUCUAGGAGUAGUUAAAAGGAAUUAACCACCCAUUGUCUAUCAAGCCAAGAUUAAACCCAUAGUUGCUUUAGACGUUCGCGCGGCAAAGUAGAGCGUCUUGCAUAAGCACUUUCAAGAAACUAGAGGACGGACAAGAAAUCUAGAAAACCGGUAGUUUAACAACCUCUAGGGAAUCUUAGUGUGCUCUUGAGAGGGAUUAGGGGUCCUUAGAUCUCCCUAGAGGUGAGAAUUUCAAGAUCCCGGUUUCACACCACAUCAUUAUCAUUUAGGAAUCCAUUCCGAGUUUAGCCUGCGUCUAGCCUAGGUAGUCUUCAUUCUCACUGAUCAGACCCCUUUGCUUGUGUUCGUGUUUUGCUUGCUAGUAUUAUUUUAUUAUUUUAUCUAGGAUUUUUAGAAACCCCCCCCCCCCCCAAAUUAAUAAACAAUUUAGUAUGUCGUGUCAGUCCGAGUCUAGAUAGAGUCUUAGCGUAGUCAGUAGAGUCCUGUGGGUUCGAUACUCGGACUUACUUUAGCUUUACUACAUUCGAUCGGUUCACUUGCCGAUUGUGUGUUUAGGGUUUAGGUCGAGUCUUAGUUUAUAAAUUUAAAGCUUAGAGAGUCUAGAAUUAGGGUAUUUUAGUUAGUUUUAUUUAACCCAUUUUCAGCACAUCAGUAUGCACAUCAAGUUUUUGGCGCCGUUGCCGGGGACUCUUGGCGAUUGCGCUGAUUACUUUGUUUGGACUUACUUGACAUAUUACGUGCUAUUUUGUUUCUUUGUUUGAGUCGUAGGUGUCUAAGUAUUUUAGUGUCUUUUUAUAGUUAGUCGAGUCGUUUAGUAGAGUCUUCUUACUUGUUUGUUUUCGGUUUUUGCAGUGGAUGCCCCAUACGCGCUCGCAGGGACCGCCGCCGUUGCCGCUUGCACUCAGGUCUUCCUUCUCGUCAUCUACGUCUGAGGUACGUGCUUCUAGCUCUACUUCAUUUUCUCAGUCCACCCCAUUU